rnacentral:rRNA from 1 species
AUUGAACGCUGGCGGCAGGCUUAACACAUGCAAGUCGAACGAGUGGCGGACGGGUGAGUAAUGCCUGGGAAUCUUGCCUAUGGAGGGGGAUAACUACGGGAAACUGUAGCUAAUACCGCGUACCAUAGGAUCAGCCCAAGUGGGAUUAGGUAGUUGGUGGGGUAAAGGCUCAUCAAGCCGACGAUCCCUCGCUGGUCUGAGAGGAGGACCAGCCACACUGGGACUGGGACACGGCCCAGAGUCCUACGGGAGGAAGCAGUGGGGAAUAUUGCGCAAUGGGGGCAACCUGACGCAGCCAUGCCGCGUGAAUGAAGAAGGACUUCGGGUUGUAAAGUUCUUUCGGGAGGGUGGCGUUAACUACAGAAGAAGCACAGGCUAACUCCGUGCCAGCAGCCGCGGUAAUAC